GCCGAGGUAGCUCAGUCGGUAGAGCACGCGACUGAAAAUCGCGGUGUCGCCGGUUCGAUUCCGGCCCUCGGCACCA
rnacentral:tRNA from 1 species